AGGAGGGGGAAUUCAGGGCCCAGCUCUGAAGUCGGAGGACAGUCAUGGUUCUAAUGCUCUCACUCAAGUCCAGGCCAGAGGUGAGGAAGAAAACGAGGAAGGAUGAAGGAAUAUUUCAGAAAUGGAAUUGGUGAGAUUUGGAGCAUCAUAAGGAACAGUAAGUGGCCUGUGCUGGUGGAUGGGAGAGGAGGAGGAAGCAGCUGCCAUCCUGUAUUUUCUGAAAGCUUUGGCCUGGAGUCAGCCAUGAUGAGGGAAUUCACAGGCAGCAGAACUCCUGAGACACAUCCAUCGUCUGUCUAGAAAAAUGGUCCCCUGAGACUGAGAGUGUGAGAGCCCAGAACCAAUAUAUGUACAAUUACCUACCUUCCUGUUCCACUCAUGCAAACUAACAGAAUAUGAAGCAAGGAAUCAGUGACUCUCUCUAUUCAUAAGGAGUUUCCUAAUUCUGUGUAAAUAAAUUUCAAAUAUUUCAGUCAUGCUUGUCAUUUGUACAAAGUUUUAAAAUUCUGGAACUCAUCUGAGCUUGUAAUCAUUGCUGGUAGGGCUCAAGCUUUUAGUCUCCAAGGGCCUUUCACUUGUGACUUGAACAGUGAAUCCAAAAGUAAAAGCUCGGCAUAGGGUGAAUGUCGUGCAGGUCACAGAGUGGACCCCACAGCCCAGAUGAAGGUUCUCUCAGCACCAAGAAGGGGGACGAAGGGAGGGCUCAGGCCAGCAGGAGCCUGGGCAGCGGCCUGACCUCUGCCUGCAUUCUUGUCCACCCACUCUAGACAGUUGAGUUCUGGUUCUGAGGAGUGGGUGACAGAACCCGUCCAAGUUAGGACCAAAAGACUGAGCACUGAGAGUUCUCUCCCCAGGUGAAGCAGCAGCAGGAAGCCUGCCUUAGAAAGGACACCUCUGGUCCCCUUGGAGUGGCAGUCACAGAACAGAAGCGGGGCACAGUGGGUCCAGGCAGAGAGGCAUAGAGAUGGCUCUGCUGCAGUGACUCAAUCUGUGUCCCCCAAAAUUCAAGUGUAGAAAUCCUCACCCCCAAAGUCAUGGCAUUCGGAGGCGGGGCCUUUGGGAGCUGAUGAGGUCACAGAGGUGGGGCCUUGAGAAUGGGUGCACGCCAUUAGUCUUGCAAUUAAUGCUAUCGGUGAAUUGGAUGCGCAUCGUUAGUCUUCGAAUUUAUACUAUCGGAGAAUGGAGUGCAAGGGCACCAUUAGUCUUGGAAUUUAUACUAUUGGGGAAUGGGAUGAGUGUUGUUAAUCUUGGAAUUUAUACUUUUGGGGAAUGGGAUGAGAACCGUUAGUCUUGGAAUUUCUGCUAUCCAGGAAUGGAGUGCAAGGGCACCAUCAGUCUUGGAAUUUAUGCUAUCGGGGAGUGUGAUGGGCCCCAUUUAGUCUUGUAAUUUAUACUAUUGGGGAAUGGGAUGGGCCCCAUUAGUCUUGGAAUUUAUAUUAUUGGGGAAUGCAAUGGGCACCAUCAGUCUUGGAAUUUAUGCUAUCGGGGAAUGGGAUGGGCAACAUGAUUCUUGGAAUUCAUACUAUUGGGGAAUGGUAUGUGCCCCGUUAUUCUUGGAACUUAUGCUAUUGGGGAAUGGGAUACACAUCAUUAGUCUUGGAAUUUAUGCUAUGGAGGAAUGGCAGCUCAGACAAAUAGAGAAUUCACAGAUCAUAAUAAUUCAGUCAUAUUAUAUCUAUUAAGCUGAAAAACAGGUUCUAUGUAAUAUCAUUAAAAAAAGUUUGGCACCUGAUUUUCAAUGUUUAUGAAGUUGCAGGUGUGGACUUUAUUCCAAAUAAAUAAUUAUUAUAUGCAUCCCUUAGUUUUGUAACCACCACUUCAGACAGUCUUCUAAAUAAAAUGUUUU
rnacentral:lncRNA from 1 species